AUCUAAUACCUAUUGAUCUGUCACUUUCUCCCAUCACGCUCAGGUGGGACCAUCCAGUUUCAGGAAAACAAGCUUAACACGCCCACUGAUUCUACAUUAUGCUCCUACCUCCCGGCAGCCUCGCCAGGCCCAGAACUCUCUCCAGUCAGCCUCUACAGACCAAGCUCAUGACUCACAAUGGCCUAUUGAGGCCCAUACCCUACCUCACGGCAGUCUCCGCAGAUGAGCCUACUGCCUCACAACAGCCUCCACAGGCACAGCUCCAUCGUUACAAUGGCCUCUUUAGACCCAGCUCCUGCCUCCCAGCCUUCUCUCCAGGCCCUGAACUUUCUCCGUGGGACCAUCCAGUUUCAGGAAAACAAGCUUAACACGCCCACUGAUUCUACAUUAUGCUCCUACCUCCCGGCAGCCUCGCCAGGCCCAGAACUCUCUCCAGUCAGCCUCUACAGACCAAGCUCAUGACUCACAAUGGCCUAUUGAGGCCCAUACCCUACCUCACGGCAGUCUCCGCAGAUGAGCCUACUGCCUCACAACAGCCUCCACAGGCACAGCUCCAUCGUUACAAUGGCCUCUUUAGACCCAGCUCCUGCCGCCCAGCCUUCUCUCCAGGCCCUGAACUUUCUCCGUGGGACCAUCCAGUUUCAGGAAAACAAGCUUAACACGCCCACUGAUUCUACAUUAUGCUCCUACCUCCCGGCAGCCUCGCCAGGCCCAGAACUCUCUCCAGUCAGCCUCUACAGACCAAGCUCAUGACUCACAAUGGCCUAUUGAGGCCCAUACCCUACCUCACGGCAGUCUCCGCAGAUGAGCCUACUGCCUCACAACAGCCUCCACAGGCACAGCUCCAUCGUUACAAUGGCCUCUUUAGACCCAGCUCCUGCCUCCCAGCCUUCUCUCCAGGCCCUGAACUUUCUCCGUGGGACCAUCCAGUUUCAGGAAAACAAGCUUAACACGCCCACUGAUUCUACAUUAUGAUUCUUCAGGCCCAGCAUCUGCCUCACUGUGGACCCCCCAAGCCAAGCUCCCAACCUUUCAGCAGCUUCUACACACCCAGCUCCCGCCUGCCAGUGGCCUCUUCAGGCCCAUGGGGCUCAUUCCUCACAACAGCCUUUCCAGUCCCAGUUUUUCCCUUCCGGCGGCCUCUCCGGGCUGAGAACCUCCUCAAGUCGGCCUCUCCAGACCCACUUGCACCCUCCAGGCGUCCUCUCCGGGCCAAGCUCCUCUUCCUGGCUGUGUCUCCAGGCCCGACUCCUGCCUCUCAACAACGUCUUUGGACUCAGUGCCUACCCAUCUCCUGGCGUCCUUGGUCGGCCCACAGCUUCCUCAAGCCAAGCUCCCCAGGCCCAGGUCAGGCCUCACGGUGCCCCCUCCACGAUGAGCUCCUGCCCUCCAAUGGCACCUGCAGGCCCCAAAUGGUCUCCGGUCGGUGGGCUCCUCCACGCCAAGCUUGGGCCUCCCGGUGACCUCUGCAGGCCCAAGUUGUCCUGAAGUCAGCAUCUCCCAGCCGUGCCUCCCAGCAAGUAAGCAAGCUCUUUUGGCUCAACUCCUGCCCAGCUCCCAACCGCCUUUGUAGGUCCCGAACUUUCUCCAGCCACGUUCUUUGGGCCUCAUUCCUGCCGCCCGGUGGCCUGUACGGGCCCAGCAAUGGUUGGAGAACGGCCUCUGCAGGUCCCGCUCUUGCCUCCCAGGGGCCUCUCCAGGCCCAGCUCUCGCCCCCACGGCGGCCACCCGGGGCCAAGUCCCUGCCUGCCUCCCAGCAGCCCGCAUGCGGCCCAGCUCCUCCCUCACGGUGGCCUGUUGAUGCCCAUGCCUCUGGUACCCUGCCCAGAGGCAUGAGCCCCUGCCACACACUGGCUCCUCCCACGCUGAGAGAGGUCAGCGUGAGCCCUUGCCUCACACCGGCCCCUCCCACGCUGAGAGAGGUCAGCGUGAGCCCCUUGCCUCACAUCGGCCCCUCCCACGCUGAGAGAGGUCGGCGUGAGCCCUUGACUCACACCGGCCCCUCCCACGGUGAGAGAGGUCAGCGUCACCCCCUUACCUCACACCGGCCCCUCCCACGCUGAGAGAGGUCGGCGUGAGCCCUUGCCUCACACCGGCCCCUCCCACGGUGAGAGAGGUCAGCGUCAGCCUCUUGCCUCACACCGGCCCCUCCCACGCUGAGAGAGGUCGGCGUGAGCCCCUUGCCUCACACCCGCCCCUCCCACGCUGAGAGAGGUCGGCGUGAGCCCCUUGCCUCACACCGGCCCCUCCCACGCUGAGAGAGGUCGGCGUGAGCCCUUGCCCCACACCGGCCCCUCCCACGCUGAGAGAGGUCAACAUGAGCCCCUUGCCUCACACUGGCCCCUCCCACGCUGAGAGAGGUCAGCGUGAGCCCCUUGCCUCACACCGGCCCCUCCCACGCUGAGAGAGGUCAGCAUGAGCCCCUUGCCUCACACCGGCCCCUCCCACACAGAAGAGGUCGGCGUGAGCCCUUGACUCACACCGGCCCCUCCCACGCUGAGAGAGGUCAGCAUGAGCCCCUUGCCUCACACCGGCCCCUCCCACACAGAAGAGGUCGGCGUGAGCCCUUGACUCACACCGGACCCUCCCACGGUGAGAGAGGUCAGCGUCACCCCCUUGCCUCACACCGGCCACUCCCACGUUGAGGGAGGUCAGCGUGAGCCCCUUGCCUCACACCGGCCCCUCCCACGCUGAGAGAGGUCAGCGUGAGCCCUUGCCUCACAGCGGCCCCUCCCACGGUGAGAGAGGUCAGCGUCAGCCCCUUGCCUCACACCGGCCCCUCCCACGCUGAGAGAGGUCAGCGUGAGCCCUUGCCUCACACCGGCCCCUCCCACGGUGAGAGAGGUCAGCGUGAGCCCUUGCCUCACACCGGCCCCUCCCACGCUGAGAGAGGUCAGCGUCAGCCCCUUGCCUCACACCGGCCCCUCCCACGCUGAGAGAGGUCGGCGUGAGCCCUUGCCUCACACCGGCCCCUCCCACGCUGAGAGAGGUCAUCGUCAGCCCCUUGCCUCACACCGGCCCCUCCCACGCUGAGAGAGGUCAGUGUGAGCCCUUGCCUCACACCGGCCCCUCCCACGCUGAGAGAGGUCGGCGUCAGCCCCUUGCCUCACACCGGCCCCUCCCACGCUGAGAGAGGUCAGUGUGAGCCCUUGCCUCACACCGGCCCCUCCCACGGUGAGAGAGGUCGGCGUCAGCCCCUUGCCUCACACCGGCCCCUCCCACGCUGAGAGAGGUCGGCGUGAGCCCUUGCCUCACACCGGCCCCUCCCACGCUGAGAGAGGUCAGCGUGACCCCCUGCCUCAACAGGCCACCCUGAGGGAGGAGCAGGGUCGCACGCGGGCUGCUGUGAGGCAGGCAGCGACUUGGGCCUGGGAGGUCGUGGUGGGGUGAGAGCUGGGCUUGGAGACUCCCCUGGGAGGCAACAGCGGGGCCUACAGACUCUGUUCUCCAGCCGGAGCUGGGACUGUUCAGGUACUGGGAGGUGGGAUGUGGGUCUGAAGAGCUUGGUUGCAGAAACUUCGGGGUCUACAAACGCAGGCGGGAGCUGAGCCAAAAAAGGUUGUUUGCUGGGAGGCGGGAGAUGCAGCCAGGAGAAACAGCUCUGCCUGCAGAGGCCGCCAUGCGGGAGGCGGAGGCCGGGCCUCCUCAAAUCGGCCUCUCCAGACCCACUUGCAGCCUCCCGGCAUCCUCUCCGGGCCCAGCUCUUCCUCCCGGCUGCGUCUCCAGGCCUGACUCUGGCCUCCCAACAACGUCUUUGGACUCAGCUCCUGCCCAGCUCCCAGCAGGCCCAAGUCGUCGUCAAGUCGGCCUGGAAUUGGGCCCGGAAGAGCAGCAAGUCGGCCUCCCCGGGCCCAGCUCCGUCCUCUCGGCGGCCUCUCCAGGUGCAAAACUUCCUCGAGUCAGCCUCUCCAGGCCCCGCUCCUCCUGCCUCCCAGUGGCCUCUUUCAGCCCAGACCAGCUCAUGGCUCUUGGCGGCCUUCCCAGGCCCCGCUUUUGACUUUUGGUGGCCUCUUCAGGCCCAGAACUUGACCUCCAGUGGGCCUUUGCAGGCCCGGCCUCCUGCCUCUCGAAGGCCUGCAUGGGCCCGGACUCACAGCGGACUCACAGCGGACUCUCCAUGCCCAGCUAGCUCUCGCCUCAUUGCGGCCUCCCGAGUCCAAAGCUCCUGCCUCUCGGCCGCUUCGGCAGGCCCAGCUCCCGCCUGCCAGUGGCCUCUUUAGGCCCAGCUCAUUCCUCACAACGGCCUUCCCAGGCCCCGUUUUUCCCUUCUGGCAGCCUCUUGGCCUCUAAUUUGUUUAUCUUUUGUGUAUAAAUCCCAAAAUAUUGAAUUUUGGAAUAUUUCCACCAUUAUGUAAAUAUUUUGGUAGGUGAUUUAUUUGGAGUGAGUUUCUGCACCAAGCCCGAAUUUUUUAUUUUAUUUUCCUUAUUAUUUGGUGUUAAACAGGUUUAAUGACGGUCAUGGCAACUGUUUGGCACAAUGAAAAAUAUCGCCCAUGA